UACAGAGGGUGCAAGCGUUAAUCGGAAUUACUGGGCGUAAAGCGUGCGUAGUCGGUUAUCUAAGUCGGGUGUGAAAUCCCCGGGCUCAACCUGGGAAUUGCAUUCGAUACUGGAUAGCUAGAGUUCGGCAGAGGGAAGCGGAAUUUCGGGUGUAGCGGUGAAAUGCGUAGAUAUCAGGAGGAACACCGGUGGCGAAGGCGGAUCUCUGGGCCAUUAUUGACGCUGAGGAGCGAAAGCGUGGGGAGCGAACAGG
rnacentral:rRNA from 1 species